CGCAGCCGCGGUAAUUCCAGCUCCAAUAGCGUAUAUUAAAGUUGUUGCAGUUAAAAAGCUCGUAGUUGAAUUUCGGGGUUAGAAAGUUGGUCGUGCCAAUGGUAUGCACUGGCUUUGCUGAUUCCUCCUUCUUGUAGAACCGUAAUGCCAUUAAUUUGGUGUUGCGGGGAGACUGGACUGUUACUUUGAAAAAUUAGAGUGUUUAAAGCAGGCUAACGCUUGAAUACAUUAGCAUGGAAUAAUGAAAUAGGACGUUCGAUCUUAUUUUGUUGGUUUCUAAGAUUGACGUAAUGAUUAAUAGGGAUAGUUGGGGGCAUUAGUAUUCAAUUGUCAGAGGUGAAAUUCUUGGAUUUAUUGAAGACUAACUACUGCGAAAGCAUUUGCCAAGGAUGUUUUCAUUAAUCAAGAACGAAAGUUAGGGGAUCGAAGACGAUCAGAUACCGUCGUAGUCUUAACCAUAAACUAUGCCGACUAGGGAUCGGAUGAUG
rnacentral:rRNA from 1 species